rnacentral:lncRNA from 1 species
UAUGGUAUUGUGAUCCCCCCCGUUGCUGCAUUUAUUUUUGACAUCUUAAUAUACUUUGAUCAACUAUUUAAUAUGUUGUUUUUAUUAUUAUUAUUUUUCUAAACUUAAAUUUCUUAUUAAUACUUUCAUAUCCUUUCUAGGAUUUAGAAGUUGAUGGGGUAAAAAAUUCUGCACAGUGAGAAGAUGGAAGCAUACUAUGAUGAGUGCAAGAAAGACCGCUUGUUGAUUAAGGAAAGAAAGUUUUUUCUUUCUUUAAAGUAAUGAUUGUAGAAACUUUCCUAGAAGUUCUGGUAAAGUGUGAUUCUUUGGGUACACUUAUUUUUCCUACAUAGUUUAAAGUACUUGUUUAAAUGUAUAUUUGGUUUUGAUAACCAUAUGUGUAUUUAACUAUUAUUAUAGUUAUUAAUUGUCUACUUGUUAAUGUGAACAUUUGAGCAUACCCACUAGGUUCAAGAUCAUUCUUAGUUUUAAUUUCAUUAAUUUCUUUUCAGUGUUUUCCUCAAAAGUUUGCUCGUUCAGUUCCACACCUAACUGAUCGGGAGAUUUAUUUGGAGGACUCAUGUGGACGACGAUGGAUGGCAAUAAUGUGCAACUAUAAUGGUUCACUUGCUAUUAGAUAGGGAUGGACCAAAUUUUCAGCUGAGCAUGAUGUGAAAGUGGGUGAAUUUUUGGUUUUCCAUUUUGCUCCGGAUGAUCAACACUAUAUUGUUCAAAUAUUCAGAACAAGUGGUUGUGAAAAGAUCAAUUUUGAUAAUUACAUUUGCAAAGGAAAAUAAAAUGAAAGGACUUAUCAGGAAACGACUACAUAUAGAUGAGUUUUUCCUGAUAAGUCCUUUCAUUUUGAUAGUUUUUUCCUGUUAAGUCCUUUAAUUUUGUUUUCCUUUGCAAAUGUAACUAUCAAAAUUGAUCUUUUCACAACCACUUAUUCUGAAUAUUUGAACAAUGAAGUGCUGAUCAUUCGGAACAUAAUGGAAAACAAAAAAUUCACCCACUUUCACAUCAUGCUCAGCUGAAAAUUUUGCCCAUCCCUGUUGGAUAGCAAGUGAACCAUUAUAGUUGCACACUGUUGCCAUCCAUCGCCGUCCACAUGAGUCCUCCAAAUAAAUCUCCCGAUCAGUUAGGUGUGAAACUGAACGAGCAAACUUUGGAGGAAAACACUGAAACGAAAUUAAUGAAAUUAAAACUAAGAAUAAUCUUGAACCUAGUGGGUAUGCUCAAAUGUUCACAUUAACAAGUAGACAAUUAAUAACUAUAAUAAUAGCUAAUUACACAUGGUUAUCAAAACCAAAUAUACAUUUAAACAAGUACUUUAAACUAUGUAGAAAAAAUAAGUGUACACAAAGAAUCACACUUUACCAGAACUUCUAGGAAAGUUUCUACAAUAAUUAAUUUAAAGAAAGAAAGAACUUUCUUUCCAUUAAUCAAUAAGCGGUCCUUCUUGCACUCAUCAUAGUAUGCUUCCAUCUUCUCACUGUGCAGAAUUUUUUUCCCCAACAACUUCUAAUUCCUAGAAAGGAUAUGAAAGUAUUAAUAAGAAAUUGAAGUUAAAAAAAAUAAUACUAAUAAAAACAACAGAUUAAAUAGGUGACCAAAGCAUAUUAAGAUGUCAAAAAUAAAUGCAGCUACGGUGGGGGUGGGGUGGGGUGGGGGGUCACAAUACCAUACAACAAUAACUUAUAUUAAGGCUAAUCUUCAAGGAAUCACCAAAAAAAGAAAAGUUUGUGUAGUUCUCCUUUCUUCGAUUAUUGAAAAAUUGCGUGUUAUCAAACAUGAUCUACAUUUAUCAAUCAAAUAAGAAACAAUAAAUGUUAUCAAUCGAAUCGAUGUGUUGAUGCAACCAUGAUCCAUUCAUGUUUCAACACUCAAAGAAGUUAUUAACAAUAAUUUAUUUUUACAGAACCCUAUUUUUUCAACUCAUGGCUAUUAACAGUUGAGAGCUAGAAUAAACACAAAUUUGACAAAGAGAGAUAAUCUGGAGAAAGGGAUCAUAUAUUUUCAUUCAAUAAAAGCUUACUACAUAUAGAUGAGUUUUUGGCCAAAAAAAUCCCUUAACUAUAGCCAAAACUUAAUAUAUAUCCUUCAACUAUCAAAUUGAACAAAAAUCAUCCUUAAUAUAUUUUAACCAUAGCAAAUUUCAUCCUUAAAUGAAACUCUGUUAAGAAAACUAACAGACCCCUCCCAUGGUAUCUUUUUACAAUGCAAUCCAAAGAUUCUUCCAUUCAUUUUUUUGUUCUUGAAUUUCUUAUGCUUUUUGAUAUGAGAUUGUUAAAGUUUACCAUCAAAAUACUCUUUUAAGACUAUUUUCUUUUCUUGUAUGUGACAUGACAUGCUCUUACGAUUCCCUCUGUCAAUAUUCACAAUACCCAACAAAAAUUUCUUGCUGAAUUAUUGUUGAAGACUUUUGAUCAACAUAUUGUAUUGUCAUUUCUUAUUUCUUUCCACACAACGUCACUUAUAAUUUUCCAAUUAUGAUACAAAUUCCGGCAUACGCUUUCCCCUAUCUUUAAUUAGUCUAGGGCCUCUAUUUUUUCUUCCUAAAAUCAAUACCCAAAUCAAAUAUAAUCACAGCUCAACCACUACACAGAAGAAGAAUCAACCUAGCUUUGUUGUUUUUUCUCUUUCUUUUAUCGUUCAUAUUCACCGAACAAAAUUGACACAUUCAAAAGCGAACUCAUAAUAGCUUAGGUGUUUGGUCAAGAAUAUUUUAUAUUUUUUCCGGAGUUUAACAUUCAAAUACGUUCAUAAAAUUUCAGAAUUUUUAAAAUUUUAAAAACAAUUAAAAAGUAUUUUCAUUCUAAAUUAUUCACCAAAAAAAGAAAAAAUAACUUCAAUUUGUAUUAAUACCAAACACAUUUUUGAAAAUUAUUUUUCACUUUGAAAACAAAACUACUUUUUAAAACUUCACAAUAAAAUAUGGUCAAACACCUAAUAAUAGGCCUGCUACUGGAUUGAGGGACUUAAUUUUUGAUGUGUUAGAGUCAUGUGGCUUGCACAAGAUGUGCGGUCCAAUUAAGUUUGUAAACAAAAGUUUCACAGAAGGAUGAAACUUGCCAAGUUUUGAAUAUAUGAAGGAUGAUUUUUGUUCAAUAGGUUAGUUGAAGGAUGUACUUAACUUUUAGGUAUAGUUAAAGGAUGUUUUUGGCCAAAAACUCACAUAUAGAUACAUACAAUGGUGUCAAAUCCCUUAAAUCUUGAAAUUUGACUCCAUGUUUUGUGCUUAUAUCAAGCUCCACCACAUCUUACAAUAUCUUCUACAUUCCAGAACUUUGUAUUAAAAUUAAUUCAGAGUUAUAACAAAAAUAUCCGGACAAAAGUACUAACAUGACAACACUUAGCAUCACAUACAAAAACAACACCCUUCAUCACUUCUCCUUGAUGCAAGUGCUGCUGGAUACUCCAAGCUAGCUCUAACAAGCUCAAAUCGUUGUUUUUGCAACAAUUUUGUAAAUAGUUGAUCUUCACCACAACAAUGCAAAAUAUGAACUUCAUUUUCCCUUUUAGCUUCUUGAAUAGAAUGGUAUUUUAUUUUAAUGUGUUUAGUCUUUCCAUGAAAGACUGGAUUCUUUACCAUGGCAACAACAAAUUUGUUAUCAUAAAGGACUUCAGUUGCUUUGCUUGGAUGAAACCCCUAGUCAAUCAAGAUUUUUCUCAACCAUAAAGCUUGAUUAACAACACUGGAGACAACAACGUACUCCGCUUCAGCUAUUGAUUGAGCCACAAAACCUUGCUUCUUUGUGCACUAGAAAAUGACACCUGAUCCGAGAGUGAAACAAUAUCCUAAAGUACUUUUCACAUUGUCUUGCGACACAGCCCAGUCACUAUAGGUAAACCCCAACAAUUUCAUAGAUGUGGUUCUUUUAUAAAACACAACAUAAUUAAUGUUCCUCGAAUGUACCUCAAAAUUCUUUUGGCUGCUCUAAGGUGAGUUUCAGUUGGUAAAUGUAUAAACCUUGAUAGCACACUUGUUGCAUACAUAAUAUCAGGCCUCAUGGCUGAUAAAUACAACAAGGAACCAAUCAAACUUCUAUAAAUCGAAGUAUCGACCAAACCACACUCAUCCUCCUUCAUCAGUUUCUCUCCUUGAACUGUAGGCGUACUUACUGGUUUGCAUUUUGAAGUCUAAUAAACAAAUGCAAACCCCAAAUCAUCAUUUGAAGUCUAAUAUACAAGGUUGCUUCAUUACAACUUCUCUUAAACACCAAAUUCAGUAAGUAGCUAUCGAUCCAUGCAUACCAGGACCUAGAUGUCUGUUUCAAGCCAUAAAGAGCUUUUCUUAACAAAUAUAUCUGGUCUCCAACUCAUCUAAAACCUUCAGGCUUCUCUACAUAAAUUUUCUUUUCAAGACACCCAUUAAGGAAGGCAGACUUAACAUCCAAUUGAAAUACUUGCCACCUUUGGUGUGCUGCAACUGCAAGUAGCAAUCUGAUGGUAUCAAAUCUUGCAACUGGUUCAAAGGUUUCAUGAAAAUUAAUUCCAUGCUGUUGCAUGUACCCCUUUACAAUCAGCCUUGCUUUGUACUUGUUGAGUGUGCCAUCUGAAUUCAACUUAAUCUUGAAAUCCAUUUAGUUCCAAGAGCCUGCUUGUCAGGAGGUCUAGGUACAAGUACCCAUGUAUUAUUCUUGUUAAUCAUAUUGAGCUCCUCCUCCAUGGCAAUCCUCCAUUCAAGAAUUUACAAUGCAUUGUCUACACUUGUUUGCUCCAACAUAGCGACACUGCAUCUAUUAUAUAUAUCUUCAAUGGAUCUGGUAUCUCUUACUACAAAAUCAUUAGAAUCCUGAUUCAAGUAGGUGUAGUAGCAGAAGCAACUGACUUUAAUUUACAACUUACAUGGAAAUCAAAUAUUAGCUAUUGCGAUUUAUGCUAAAUGCUCUAAUAUUGAGAGACAAAGUCUAUCGGGAGAUUUGUCCUCAAUCAGUCAACAAUUCAAUAUGCCUUAAAUGAUGGGAGGUGACUUUAAUGUGAUCCUUGGAGAUGAAGAAAAACUUGGUGGAAUGUCUGUUUAUCCACAUGAAUAUGAGGAUUUUGCAUUAUGUCUUAACUCAUGUGAUUUGUCUGAUGUUUAUUUCUCAUGAAAUCCUUUUACUUGGUGGAAUGACAGAGUUGAUAAGGCAUGUAUUUUCAAGAGAUUAGAUAGGGUUGUAGCUAAUGAUUCAUUAUUGGAGAUUUAUGGCAACACUGAACUACAACACCUAGCUAGGACAUGUUUGAUGAUGCCCCCUUACUCCUUACGUGUGGGGGGUGGGAAAUACUCCUAUUGCAAAACCUUUCAAGUUCUUGAAUUUUUGAACUGAAAGAGAAAACCAAAUAAUAUUUUCAUUCAGCUGAAGUAGAAACAAAAAAGGAUCAAUAAGGCUUUGACCUUAUGGAGUGGAGAGAAAAUUGGAGAUAUCGCAAUUGACUAUUAGAGAAGAGACUGUGAUGAUUAAAGAGAGAUUAUUUCAAGAGAUCCUUCACUAGAUAACACAUCAAUAUUGCAAAGAGCACAUGCAGAGUUAAAACUUUAUCUUCAUUAUGAAAAAGAGUUUUGGAGGCAAACGGCUAGUGUACAAUGGUUUGAAGAAGGAGACAUAAAUACUAGAUUUUCCAUGGCCUUGUUAGGGGAAGAAGGAAAAGACUUACAUUGAAGAGUUCUCAAGGAAGAUGACACAUGGACAAAAUCAAAUGAUGUAAUCAUAAGGGAAGGAGUUUACUUUUUUGAAAAGCAAUUCACUAGUGGAGAUAUAGAUGAGCAAAUGUCUCUAUUACAGGGUAUCCAACCACAAAUAUUCCAGGAAGAUAAUGAAUUUCUCAAAGCUCUACCUGAUAUAGAAGAAAUUUAAAAAAUGGUCUUUGAAUCAAAUGCUGAUAAUGCUUGUGGUCCUGAAUGUUUUAUUGGAUGUUUCUAUCAGACAUACUGGGAUAUUGUAGGCCAUGAUAUAUACAGGUUGCGCAUGCCUUUUUCUAGAGUGUCUCUCUACCAAAAUCUAUUACUCACACUAAUUUGGUUCUAAUACCUAAAAAUGAUACUACCCAGCCCUUAUCAGAUCUUAGACCAAUUAGUCUGAGUAACUUCUUAAACAAGAUCAUCUCCAGAUUGAUUCAUGAUAGGAUUGAAGGUUAUCUGCCUAAAUUGAUAUAAGAAAAUCAAUCUAGCUUUGUUAAAGAAAGGAAUAUCACUAAAAAUGUGUUGCUAGCUCAGGAGGUUAUAUCUAAUAUAAGGCUAAGGGGUAGGCCUGAUAAUGUGGUUAUAAAGCUGCACAUGGCAAAAGUAUAUGACAACGUAGUGUAAUUUUUUAUCAAAAUCCUGGAGAAGAUGGGUUUUGAUGCUGAGAUUCUAGACAUGAUUUGUAGACUUAUUGGUAUCCAGUUAUGAUUAAUGGGCAGGCUCAUGGAUUUUUCCAUUCUACAAGAGGGGUCAAGCAAUGAGAUCCUUUAUCACCUGCUCUUUUUAUAUUGUCUACAGAAGUGUACUAGAGCUAUGAAUCACUUAUUUGAGAGAUAUGAUUAUAAAAGCUAUGGAUUGCCUAAAUGGAGUGAUAAAUUGAAUCAUUUGUCUUAAGGAGAUGAUACAAUUAUUUUUGCAGUUAUAGACAAAAAAUUAUUAAAGUUUAUAAUAAAGUUUUGAAAAAAAUAUGAGGAACAAUCAGGACAAUUGAUUAAUAAAGAUAAGAGCUCAUAUUAUGUAUAUAAUAAGGCAAAACAUGUAUCUAGACAAUUGAUGUCACUGGUUUCUCAAGAGGUUAAUUUCCUUUGACAUACAUAGGUUGCUCUAUUGGUCAUGCUAAGAAGAAGAAGGUACAUUUCACAGUAUUAUUAAAGAAAAUUCAAGACAAGUUACAAUUGUGGAAGGGAAAGCUUCUAACUUUUGGGGGUAAAACAGUUUUAUUAAAUAGUGUGCUUAAGAGCAUCCCUAUUUAUCUUUAAUUUGUCCUUAAUCCUCUCCCCCCAAGUGUGUAAUACAUGAUAUUCAUAGAAUGUUUGCUAAAUUUCUGUGGAACUUCAAAGAGGAGGGAAGAUCUACCCACUGGAUAACAUGGAAGGAUAUCUGUGUGCCUAAAAAAGGAGGAUUGGGAUUUAGGUCUUUAUUUGACCUCUCUAUGACUUUAUUUGCUAAGUUAGGAUGGAAAUUUAGGACACCUAAUACACUAUGGUCUAACUAUAUGUGGAAUAAGUAUUGUAAGAGGCAUAUGCCACAAACAGUAGAAUAGAAAGAUGGAUCUCAAAUAUGGAAGAAUAUGUUACUGGCAAGAGAAUUCUUUGAUCAGAAGAUAUGGUGGGAACCAAAGAAUAGACAUGCUAGUGUAUGGUUUGAUAAUUGGACUCAAUUGGGAUCCCUACAUUAUCAUAUGAAUUUGAAUCAUGAUCAGAGUCAGGUGGAAUCUGUUAAUCAGUUGUUUAAUGAGGAUGGAUGGGUUCUAGACAGUCUUACAACAUACUCUUGAUGAGGAAACUUGUAAUCAUAUUACUAGAAUCUUGGUAAGUCUAACCCCUUCACAAGAAAGAGACAAACCUUGGUGGAUGCUCAGUGGGUCUAGAAAAUUUAAGGUUAAAUCAACAUGGGAUUUAUGUAGAAAUAGAUAGGAUCCUAUUGAGAAGAUAUUGAAUAUAUGGGUGAAGGGACUACCUUUUAAAGUGCCAUUCAUGUUAUGGUGAUUGUGGUUUAGGGGAAUUCCUAUUAGGGAAGUUCUUAUUAGAAGAGACAUUACUAACUCUGGGAUAUGUUGUUGUUGUAACCGUAAUGAACAAGUGACAUUUGUACAUUUAUUUAUUGAAUGUACGAACUCAUAUCAUAUUUGGAGGUUGUUCAAUGAGGCUACAUGUCUGCAUUUUCAGGUGGUACAACUCAAACAAACAUUGGAGGAAUGGUGGAAGGCUGACUGUACUACAAAUUAAAAUCAAUAUUUAAAGUAGCUCCUGAUUUUAUAAUAUGGCAACUUUGGAAGAGAAGGAAUGUGAUCAAGCAUGGUCGUAGUAUGGCUAGAUAAAGCAUAAUAUUGGAGAUUCUUAGAAAUGGCUAUUUGUUUACUAGGUACAGAUGCCCAUGGUUAAAGGACAUCCCAAAGAGUUGGACGUUCAUUGUGAAGUUUCUGGAAGGGUAUAUUCGACUGAUUGUGUGAUGGCUACACCCUCCUAGGGGUAAAUUCAAAAGCAAUACUGCCAUGAGCUGUAAAAGAUGAAAUAGGUUCAAUGACUUUUUGUGUAAUAGAUGAAUAUGGGAAGAUGAUAUAUGCUGAAUCAAAGGUGAUGGAGAAUGUCUCAGUUAUUGAAGUGGAAAUAAAAGCCAUUAGAAUAGGUAUAGACUACUAUGUUGAACACAACCUAAUACCCCUGAUCAUUGAAACAAAUUCAUUAAUGGCUUAGAAAAUACUAUGUGGAAGUUAGGAGGCCCCUUGGUUAAUAUCUCCGGAUGUAGGCUACAUUAAGGGACUAAUGAUAGAAAUAAAAGUGAAAGUGAUGCAUUCAUAUCGAGAAGGAAAUUCAGUAGCGGAUUUUUCUGCUAACAUUGCUUUUGAUUUUUCAGGUACAAGCAGGAAACAAUUCUAUAACAUAAGUGAAGCACCUUAACAGGUACAAACAAUCAUUCAACUGGAAAUAAACAACAUGUCAAAUUUGAUAAUAAGGAGAAUACAUAACACAUAUUACAUGAUGCUAUGAUAUUGAGCAAACAACACUUUAGAGUACAGAUGAUAUACUUCAACCAGUACAAACAAUCAUUCAAUUGGAAAUAGGCAAUAGGCAAAAUCUGUGAAUUAGGAGAAUAUAGAACACACGUUACAAGAUGCUAUGACAUUGAGCAAGCAACACUUGAGAGUACAAAUGAUUUGCUUCAAUCGGUAAGCUACCUAAUAAUUUCAGCUGGAAUUUCAUCUUUUUAAACAGCGGUAUUAACCCUUUUGGGGUUAAAUCUAUUGAGAAGAUAAAAUUAAAGUUGAAAAAUAAGGUAAAAGGCGCAGUAGGUCAUCAUGUUUUUUCAAAUCAGUGGCUAUCUCAUUUCAUUCCUUUUGGGGGCGAAGUUCACAAUCACAUACCUUCCAUUCCAGCAAAGAUCUACCUCAUUCAUGUUGAAGAAGUCUUCAUUGAUAACGAAUCAUAACGCCAGUGAGAUUUUUGGUGUUCAAGUGAUUACAAGCCGGACAUGAUAUUGUUUGUAGAAGAUGAAGGUUAGACGGGUAUGGUAGUGUCGAGGAAGCCAUGGAUACAGAGCUUCAGCGCGGCUAUUCAAAGAUGAGGACUUGAAAUGGGGUUUUGGAAACCUCCUGAAGCUCUUG